UACAGAGGUCUCAAGCGUUGUUCGGAUUCAUUGGGCGUAAAGGGUGCGUAGGCGGCGCGGUAAGUCGGGUGUGAAAUCUCGGAGCUUAACUCCGAAACUGCAUUCGAUACUGCCGUGCUUGAGGACUGGAGAGGAGACUGGAAUUUACGGUGUAGCGGUGAAAUGCGUAGAGAUCGGAAAGAACACCAACGGCGAAAGCACUCUGCUGGGCCGACACUGACACUGAGAGACGAAAGCUAGGGGAGCGAAUGGG
rnacentral:rRNA from 1 species